GGAUGGAUGCUGCGGGAAGGGGCUGCCAUUUGCUGCCCCUGCCAGCGGCGCGCGGACCUGCCCGGGCUCCUGCAGCCGCCGCCGCCGCCGCCGCCAGCGCCGUCCGCGGGCCGGGCCUCUACAGCGACGCCGCCUCGGCUCCCUCCGCGGCCGCCAGCGCGGUCGCCAUGAACCCCAGCUCCUCGGCGGGAGAGGAGAAGGGGGCGACGGGCGGCAGCAGCAGCGGCGGAAGCGGCGCCGGGAGCUGCUGCCUGGGCGCCGAGGGCGGCGCGGACCCGCGGGGCGUAGGAGCAGCGGCUGCGGCGGGGGCCGCUGCCCUAGAAGAGCCCGCGGUCGCCGGCCAGAAGGAGAAGGAUGAGGCGCUGGAGGAGAAGCUGAGGAACUUAACUUUCCGGAAGCAGGUCUCUUACAGAACUUGCACCCCUAGAGCAAAUAGUCUCUGUAGACUGUAAAGCUGAAGGGUUUAGAAGGCAGUGCAAGUGAGCUGGAGAACGCCGUGAACGGGGAGCACCUCUGGCUGGAGACCAAUGCCUCAGGUGACCUCUGCUACCUGGGAGAAGAGAACUGCCAAGUCCGAUUUGCAAAAUCGGCUCUCAGGAGGAAGUGUGCAGUCUGUAAAAUCGUGGUCCACACCGCCUGCAUCGAGCAGCUAGAAAAGAUUAAUUUCAGAUGUAAGCCAACGUUUCGAGAAGGAGGCUCAAGAUCACCAAGAGAAAAUUUUGUGCGUCAUCACUGGGUGCACAGGCGUCGGCAGGAGGGGAAAUGUAAGCAGUGUGGUAAGGGCUUCCAGCAAAAGUUCUCCUUCCACAGUAAAGAGAUCGUGGCCAUCAGCUGUUCCUGGUGCAAGCAGGCGUUUCACAAUAAGGUGACCUGUUUCAUGCUGCAUCACAUUGAGGAACCCUGCUCCCUGGGGGCUCAUGCUGCCGUUAUAGUCCCGCCCACCUGGAUCAUUAAGGUGAAGAAACCUCAGAACUCCCUGAAGGCUUCCAAUCGGAAGAAGAAGAGAACAAGCUUUAAAAGGAAAGCCAGUAAAAGAGGAACUGAACAGGAAAACAAAGGUCGUCCUUUUGUGAUAAAACCUAUCUCUUCUCCUCUCAUGAAACCCUUGCUUGUGUUUGUGAAUCCCAAGAGUGGAGGAAACCAGGGAACCAAAGUCCUGCAGAUGUUCAUGUGGUAUCUGAAUCCACGGCAAGUUUUUGACCUUUCGCAGGAAGGGCCAAAAGAUGCGCUUGAGCUCUACAGGAAGGUACCUAAUCUGAGAAUUCUGGCCUGCGGUGGGGAUGGAACGGUGGGCUGGAUCCUUUCCAUCCUGGAUGAGCUGCAGCUGAGCCCCCAGCCUCCUGUAGGGGUCCUUCCUCUGGGGACUGGCAAUGACCUGGCUCGAACUCUCAACUGGGGCGGGGGUUACACAGAUGAGCCGGUCUCUAAGAUCCUAUGCCAGGUGGAGGACGGGACCAUUGUACAGCUAGAUCGCUGGAACCUCCAUGUGGAAAGGAACCCAGACUUGCCUCCAGAAGAGCUUGAAGAUGGCGUAUGUAAGCUUCCUCUGAAUGUUUUCAAUAAUUACUUCAGCCUUGGAUUUGAUGCUCAUGUCACACUGGAGUUCCAUGAAUCCAGAGAGGCAAAUCCAGAGAAAUUCAAUAGUCGUUUUCGAAAUAAAAUGUUUUAUGCAGGGGCAGCUUUUUCUGAUUUCCUACAGAGAAGUUCUAGAGAUCUAUCCAAACAUGUUAAAGUUGUCGUAAUGUGAUGGAACAGAUCUCACCCCAAAGAUUCAGGAACUCAAGUUCCAGUGUAUAGUAUUUUUAAAUAUACCCAGAUAUUGUGCUGGCACAAUGCCCUGGGGAAACCCGGGAGACCACCAUGACUUUGAGCCUCAGCGUCAUGAUGAUGGCUAUAUUGAAGUCAUUGGAUUCACCAUGGCCUCUUUGGCUGCCCUGCAAGUCGGGGGCCAUGGAGAAAGGCUGCACCAGUGUCGAGAGGUCAUGCUUCUAACGUACAAGUCCAUCCCCAUGCAAGUGGACGGCGAGCCCUGUAGGCUGGCCCCGGCCAUGAUUCGGAUCUCCUUGAGGAAUCAGGCCAACAUGGUACAGAAGAGCAAGAGGAGAACCUCCAUGCCUUUACUCAAUGAUCCCCAGUCUGUCCCAGAUCGCCUGAGGAUCCGGGUGAACAAAAUCAGUUUACAAGACUAUGAAGGAUUCCACUACGACAAAGAGAAACUUCGGGAAGCUUGUAAUGCAGACUGGAAAAGAAUAAUUGCUGGGGAACUAGGCAUUCAUUUAGGGCCAUUCCUCUGGGUAUUCUAGUUGUGCGUGGAGACUGUGAUCUGGAGACUUGCCGUAUGUACAUAGACCGCCUACAGGAGGACUUGCAGUCAGUUUCUUCUGAUUCCCAGAGAGUUCAUUACCAGGACCAUGAAACCUCCUUCCCCAGGGCACUCUCGGCUCAGAGGCUGUCCCCUCGGUGGUGCUUCCUAGAUGCAACUUCUGCUGACCGCUUUUAUCGAAUAGACAGAUCUCAGGAACAUUUGCACUUCGUGAUGGAGAUUUCCCAAGAUGAGAUUUUUAUUCUCGACCCAGAUAUGGUGGUGUCACAGCAGGCGGGGACACCUCCCGGCAUGCCUGAUCUGGUAGUAGAGCAGGCCUCAGGGUCACCAGUCUCUUCUGAAGAUCAUGCAAUUUUGCAGGCAGUAAUAGCUGGUGAUCUUAUGAAGCUAAUAGAAAGCUAUAAAAAUGGAGGCAGUCUGCUAAUUCAGGGACCAGAUCACUGUUCACUGCUUCACUACGCAGCCAAAACCGGCAACGGGGAGAUUGUGAAAUAUAUCCUGGACCAUGGACCUUCUGAACUAUUGGACAUGGCAGACAGUGAAACGGGUGAGACUGCACUGCAUAAGGCUGCCUGCCAGCGGAACCGGGCUGUGUGCCAGCUUCUGGUGGAUGCAGGAGCAUCUCUGAGAAAGACGGACUCCAAGGGUAAGACGCCUCAAGACAGAGCACAGCAGGCUGGGGACCCAGAGUUGGCUGCUUACCUCGAAAGCCGCCAAAACUAUAAGAUCCUUGGCCAUGAGGACCUGGAAACUGCUGUUUGACCCUGGUAGAUGGGCCAAGAGGAUGAGUGAGCAAAUCACCUGUGCCCUGCUGGCAGCUGGGCAGCUCCCCUGGAAGAAGCUGAUGGAAUCCAUGUAUCUGUCUGUCUCCUGCAAGAAUCUAUCUGAGACCAUGCCACCAGUUUUUAAGGGCUACCAAGAUGUACAACAGAACGUGAUAGCCCAGGGAGAAGGAGGCAGGCUACCUGGAGAUUUGUGGAAUGCAAGUUCCACAAAAUUUGAUCCUUAUUGCUUCCAGCAAGUAGCAUGAACUUCUGUGUUCACCUGUAUAAUUUAUUUUACAGAUUCAAAGGAUGUUUGUAUAAAAGGCACUGCUCCCUCCUCCCCCAUGCAUUUCCAUCUUUUCCCCGUCCCACACAAUUCUACUGUAAUUACCAUCAACUUAAAAAAAUAUGAUAUCUCUUCUCUUUCCUUCCAUGCAGUCUUUGAAGACCACAAGAUUGUCUGAAGGUCUUUUAAAACCCCUCUGGCUGUUCUGCAGAAAUAUUACUAUAAAACCACUUCCAUUUCCAAGACUAAAGAUACCGAGACUACUUAGUGACUCUUUGCAUGCCCUCCCCUUCCCCCUCCUGUUUCAUCCUAUAGGAGCUGGAAAGUGCCACAUGGAUAACGUCAACUUGUGGGCUAAUCUCUGAGGCCUGGUGAGGUGGCAUGGGAGCUGUCUGUGCUCAGAGGUACCUCAGAGAGGUCACCCAGGGGUCGGCCCAGGCAGCUGGGCUGUUUGCCGAUAGCCGUGCAGGACGGGUUCAGCUUGGGCUGUUUGUACAGCUCCGUACUGCCUAUGUGUAGCCAUCUUUGCCUUUUGCUGCAAUAGAGAUGAGCAAAGGAUUAAACAAAGGCCCAUAGCUAGUUUGCAGAACCACUCAAUUUCAAGUGCUGUUUAAAUUGCAGGGCAGAAAACCAUGUGGGAACUGUGGUUACAGGAAAUGGAGCACUCUAACAACGUUUAGUUCUAGUCUUUCUUGAGUGAUAAUAGAAAGCAACCUAAUGGACUUGGGGUGGGGGGACAGCGAAAGCAGAAGUAGCAACAUAUGUCACGAUAACACACUGGAGCAAGAAAACAGUCAUAGGAAUGUUGCACAGAAGCUAAUAACAUAGACUCUAGGAUCCAGCGGUAAGAGGGGGUCCAUUUAAGGUUUUCCUUCUAGGGUUCAUUUUCAUGAUUUCCAGGAAGUCUUGACCCAAGGACAAAGCCUUGUUUAAGGAAUCCCACCCACUGCCAGAUUCCAAGAAUGCCUGGCUCUUUCUGAUGGAUGCUUCAUUUGUUGCUUGUCAGGUUCUGAGCUCAUAGCUGAGAACCCUAUUUCCAAGUAUGGGGUAGUCUAAUAUAUUUCUUUCUCUGCAGGCAGUUCUUGGUGCUGUGGCAAUGUGGGAGUCUAGCCAGAAAUGUCUGGUAG